rnacentral:snRNA from 1 species
UUGCUUUGCCAGCACACAUACUAAAAUUGGAACAAUACAGAAAAGAUUAGCAUGGCCCCUGUGCAAGGAUGGCACGCAAAUUCCAUAUUUUUUUUUAAUCAAU